AUGUUUCACAAAAAUGUGGCUCAAUCCGCAGCUUGCCCUCGAUGUCAAGACCCGUAUGAGGAUGCUCUUCAUCUCAUUUCCACCUGCUCCUUUGCUACACAAGUUUGGUCCAGCUUGGGCCUGUCUGCUCCGACCUCCCUCACUGCUCUUCCCCAACACCCACCGAUUCAGGGCUUCAACCCCAACAUCUGGCCAUCGGUGGCCUUGACCAUAACUUGGAAGCUCUGUGACUCAAGAAAUGCUCUCGUGUUCAGGAACGAUGAUCACUCUCACAGAUUAACGCUAAGAAAUAUUGUAGCAGACUUCUCUCUCUGGGUCUUACGGUUAAAAAAAACUGAUGACAGCAACUCGGCUAGACAGUGGCUAAAUUUUCUCUCCUCUGCAAUCCCUUCUAGCUGA
rnacentral:rRNA from 1 species